AAAAAAAUUCCAAAUGCAACUUUUAUUCAUUUUUCAACCUUCUCUAUAUUCAUUAAGUGUCAAACCCCCUUGAUUCAGACGCACGAGCUCUCUCUCUCUCACGCUCAUCUCUUAUUUCUUUCUCAUCAUCCAAAGCUGAAAUCUUCUUUCUCUGUUGGUGAACGCAACCUACGUAUAGCGGCCCCAUGGAGAUGAAGAAACGCAUACAGCAACCAUCAUGAAUUUCUUUUCCUAUGUGCAAAUAAUCACCGCGCACAGCAACCAGCCAACCAUCACCGUUGUCCACACUAUCAUUCUUCUUCUCCCUUGGCGAGACCCAAACGCACACCAUGGUCCCUCUUCCCUCCCUCACGUGAUUUCUAACUUUGGCAGCCACCACCUCCAUUUCCUUCAACUUUUUCUCAUCUCAAUCUUGAGCUUUUUAGUUAGAGGUUCGUUUGAGGAGAUUCCCAGAAAUCAAGGAGAAGAGCUUGAAGAACAUUUUGAGGAGGAAGCUGGAAGACCCACCGAUGAGUAUGGGGGAUUGGUUUACCAUGGUCAGCCCCUCGGGGGGGACCAGGUACGAGAUGCUUGAUCAAGACGACCCAGGUGCAUGGGUGGUCGAUCCCGAGGGCCACCGUGCGACCUACACCGGUCGGGUCAUGGAGGACCGUGUCGACCGAUUCGGACGCUUGACGGAAGGGGUGAUGAGGAGGCACAUAGUGAGCUUCAAUCCUGCCUCCAGGAGUACACUGUGGACCCGGCUUGGGAGGACCUCCACCGCCACCAUCCCCUUCGGAUGAUGAGGACCCCUCUGAGGAGCUGCCAGUAGGUGGGGCUUCGACGGAGUCUAGUCCGUCUACUGCUGCUGCUGUCGUCGCGGAUCUCGUUCCGGGCCCCGAGCCCGAGAGGCCAGUGCAGGAGCGCAUUAGGGUGGACAGAGAGGGCAGUGUUGAGUAUGUCGACUUAGUCGUCCUGGAUGCAGAUUCGGAUGACGACCGCGCUAGCAUGUAGGAUCGAGUGCUAGUGUGGGCUCCUCGGGUAGGGAUUAGUGUAGGAGUAGUGUCGAUGCUCUGACCGUCAUGCUUCAGUUUUGGGGACAGGGUAGUUUCCUACCGGUAGCUUUUUGUGUGGUUUCCUAUGGGGAUCACAGAGAGCUGGUUGGAUUUUUAGGGGGUCUUUUCUUAGGCCGCUGGGCCAACUUGUUCUCAGAUUUUGAGGUUUAGUGUUGCGGACACAGUAUUUUUACCUUGGACUGUACAUAUUGCCUUCGGGCGUUACUCUUUUUCUGUCACCCGUCACUGGAGGUUACUCGUGACGUGGUUGUGUUUAGCGAGGCAUGUAUAUAUAGUUGUAUAGUAGUUCCUUUUAUCUUUUGUUGGGGAGUUUAUUGCUUUCUGUCUUUAGCUAUAUUGUCGAAAAAAAAUAAUUCACGUUUUUCCGCUCAAGUAUUUUCUUUUGGUUACUAAAGUGACGCCACCGAAAUCGGGGUGUUACAAAUUAAAUUAGAUUGAAAUAAAAGUUCGGACUGCCCUAUUUCCCCUAGGGUGGCCGAGAGCUAUGUUUUAGGGUUGGGGGAGAAAAAUCUUUUCUUCAAACCUAGAGGUGAUGCGUGAACGUCGGAUGAUUUCUGGUAAAUGUCGGGUUGAGUCUAAACUUGAAUGUGUGAUUUAUGCUAAAUGUCGCCAAAAGGUGUCAAAGUGUUUACUUGUGUUUUAAGCAGACUAAAUGUUUAAGUAUGCACUAGGAAUGUGACUAGGUCUAUUACUUGGACAUGAUGAUAUGAUUUGUGUUUUCAAAAUUGAGUUGGAACCUUAAUGUGCUAAGUGCUUAUGUGUGAAACUUGAGUCGAGUCAUACUCAUGCAUUUGGGUUAACUCUUCCAUUGUUGCCUACGUGUUUAACUCCGAAGCUUAGGAAGCUUUUUCCAAUGUUAGUGAACACUUUUAGAUAGAACUGUUUCUUAGUGUCUAAGUAAUGUUGUUUUUGCUUGAGGUAUUGAAUUGGUUGAACCAAGAAGAGUUGAUUUGGAGCAAGCGGAGCGGUUGCAAGACGGAGGAGAAUUACCCAAGACCCUAAUAGGUGUUGCUGCUAGUAGCUGUUGAUCUCCGCAAGAAGGUGAUUGGACUGAUUGACGAGAAGACUUCCUUGGAGUGAGUGAACCAACCGAUCACUUGUAGAAGUAAAAGUUAGAUGUAAGGCUAGAGCCUUGGGUAGAGAAGCUUACUGUCAUUGGUUGAAGCUCGUAAGGAUGGUUGUAUUACUUACUUUGGUCUUGGGUAGGUUCCGCUGCAUGACUCUCCCGCUAAUCUCCAGUGAGGGGAUUGUAGGAAGUAUAUUGGACUUAGGGUGUUAUCGCAUUCUGAACUUUGUUGUUGGUUAUGACAUUACUUCACUGUAUAUUUUAUAUGUCUUGAACAUCUGUCGUCACUUAGGGGUGCUUUCCUUGACAAGCCCGGAUGUAUGGGUUUGGGCAAGAGUAUGCAUAUCAGGUUUUCGAAAUAAAGAAAACGAAAAAAAAAUAUACCCUUAUUUGUAAAUCCUUUUGUAAAAUAAUUUCAUUUUAUUUAAUAGGUUACUAUUUGUGACCCCCGAAAGUCGGGAUGUUACACUAAGCCUCCUGAACUUUUCUAGCUAAUCAUUAACUUAUUCAUCACUUGAAAGCGCAUGCGUAUCAAAAAAAUAAAAUAUCAAGAUGGUUAAAAAGUAAUGAGAGAGAGUCACGUAAAAGAAAGAAAAGGAGAAUAAGGAAGAAGAAAAGAAGAAAGAAGGUGAAAAUAUGAAAGAGGGAAAAUAAAUAAAUAAGCAAGGUGAUAAUUAUAUCUAUUCCCUUUUAAUUAAACCUACUCUAUUUUUCUUAUAAGUAUAUCUAGUCAGUUUUAACUAUGUAUACUCAACUUUAAUUUUAAGGUUACAUAUACUCUCUUUUAUCUAUGUCAACUCUAUUUAACUAUGUCUACCUUAUAACUAAUCUCUUUUGAUCUAUUUAUUCUCUUUUAAUUCUAAGUUUUUGUUUUAUAUUUAGGACAUUGAUUUUUAUUUAACUUUGCAAAUAAAUAUAAUUUGUUAUUACAUUUCCAUGCCUUAAAAUGGUCGGCUUUGUCGCCUCUCUCUAGUUACUUAAAAGUUCAACUUAUUACUAUUUAGUUGCUUACUUGAAUUAAAAAUGGUCAUAGACGACUUCUCCGUCGUUUUAGUUUUAUUUCAUAUUUUAAAAAUGGUCAAUAGACGACUUCUCCGUCAUUCUACUUCUACGCUCCUGACUUAAUUCCCCUAGGUGGUCGUCGCUGCGGGGCGGCAACCCCUUUGUUUGUUUCUUGCCUUUCGUUGUUUGCCCUUCUCCCUUCCUGCUUCCUUCACCUUUCAGUUUUCAAUAAGGCGGUGGCCGCCCUUGCUGUCCGUCUUCCUGUCACGGCGGCGAAGAUUCAAAUCGGCCGAUCUGGGUCGUGUUCGCUGAUAACCUGAGGUUUAUUCUAUGUUGUCGAGUUCUUUUUUAUUUAUUUCUUUUCCUCUUUGAGUCCUUUAUUGAGUUUUAAGUCAAGUUAAGUCCCUUUUUAGUUCAUAAUUGCAUCUGCAUUAGUUUAGGUAUUUUUAAUUUAUUUAUUUGGUCUUUUUAUUAGUUUUAGUUUGAGGUUAAUUCUUAUGGUCAGAUUUGAGUUGAAAUCUUGUGAGAAUAUGGUUGUUGAUGGUCUUUUAGGGGUUUCAUUUGCUGAAUUGAAUGAAGGAUUGAUGAAUUAUCAUGAUUAAUGAGAUGUUUCCAUGAGUUACAUUUUUGUUUUAAUAGGUUCUUGAGAUUCUUUUCAGGUUUGAUAGUUUUUUGAUGGCUAAUGAUGAUGGUUGAAGGCCAAGAAAUGAACAAUGAUGAUUGUUGAAGAGGGAGUUACAAAGUUGAUGAAGAAACUGCUGAGCCACGCAUGUGCGCCAGCUAUGCCACGCACAUGCAUGGUUGUUCUGUGAAAGAAAAGGGUGAACCGUUGAAGGCCACACAUGUGCGCCACUUUGGCCACGCACAUGCGUGGUAAACUGAAUUGAAGGCUGAUUUUGAACAGAUGAUCCACGCAUGUGCGUGGAGGAGGCCACACACAUGCGUGGCAGGUCGCUGAAAAGUCUAUAAAUUAGGAUUUUGUUAUUUCUUUUAGGUUUCUUGUAACUUUUUGAACAACACUUAGAGUUUUAGUUUCUUGGAGCUUGUGGGAGACUUCUUGGCACUCUUAAUUCAGGUUUUUGUUUUUUUGAUUUGCAUUAUGAAUUCUCUAGCCAUGUUUGGCUAGUUUCUCUUUGUACUU